GAGAUUUCCAGGUACCAACUUGCUCUUCAGAUGACUCGUGACCUCACGCUAGACGUAGCAAUACAAACAAUUAUGGUAUAGGCAAAAUUAACAUUACACCAAACAUAAGAUUAAACUGCGUAUUAAUAAUCUACGCGUAGUAACGAGAUCGUAGAAAUUAGAACCACUAAAUUCGGGGCUACGGCUAUCGAGUUAUGAUUUUCCGAAGAUCCACGUGGUUAAAUAUAGAAUAGACUAAGUGCAAUAUUUUAACCUAUAUUUCAUGACAAAACAAAGUUACCAGAUGAUAAUAGAUAUUAUUGUGAGACUAAUGCAACGAGAAUGGAUUAAAACGGAGUUACUGUUAUUGAGUUAUGAAUUUCUGAAAUUAUUUAGCACCUAGAAUAGAUUAAUUCAAUUGAGCAAUUUUAAUUAAAGUUUCAUGGUUAAACAAAGGUACAAUGUGAUAAACAAUAUUAAAACAAAAUUAAUGCCACUGGAAUGGAUCAAUUUGGAGUUAAAAUGAAUUAAAUAUGAAUUAUACAAGUUUCUAAAAUUGUUUUCAUACUAAAACUCAUUUUCUACAUUAAUAUACUCAUUUUAUUCAAUAUUCGAACUGUGAACACUAAUACUUUAAAGACCAGGGGCUAAACCACAAAUUUCAGGGGCAUAGAUUAAAUUUUCUACCACUGCAUCAGAACGGUGGGUUAAUUCUAACAUUUCCCGGAGGUUCUUUUGAAUAACCAUUCGGUCGGAAGGGUAUUGAUGGAUCUCGACCGUUGGAUCAACGCUGGAUGGCCCAGAUUAGAUCAACUUUAUUAUGAAUCAGGGCGCGAUCACAGCCGCACGGCAACCGUUGAUUCCGAGAUCUGCGAACCAGAUUUAAAAUAAGCGAGAACUAGCCACAACCCCCAGAUCUAGAUCGAACGGAUCCUAUUACCCCGACCGAACCGAUCCCAAGCGCAUCCAAUCGCAGCCGUACACGUCGCGAUCGACGACUCAUACGUUUCUUCUAUCCAACAGCAGACCACAGACCGGGCGGCGCCAGCGCAGCCCGUGGCGGCGUUUCGCUGGCGAGUAGAGGGUUGGGCGACCAGGCGAACCAAUCCGAGCAUGCAUAUGUGCUAGAGAAUCCUCUAAUUAUGUACAAUUAGCGGAAGCGAGUCCAUACCAGGGAUCGGGUUCCGAAAUUGUGGGUCCAGGGCAUAGUGCGGCCAGCCGCAGUCCUUGAUGCCGGCGAGAAAUCAUGAGUGCUCCUAUCACCAAUAGCGCCUGGUCUGUCCACGAGUACCCUCGCACAGUUCUCUCUGCUCACCUGACGAAGCUUUUUGUUUGAGUUUGCUCCACCUAUGGGUUACGGGGACAUGGGCUCCUGGCAUGGCACUCUCGGCGACGAGUCUUGUUCUCUUCCUAAGCGGCUCGAU
rnacentral:lncRNA from 1 species